UACGAAGGGGGCGAGCGUUGUUCGGAUUUACUGGGCGUAAAGGGCGCGCAGGCGGUCAUUUUUGUCGAGUGUGAAAGCCCCGGGCUUAACCUGGGAACUGCGCUCGAAAUGGGAUGACUAGAGAUCGGGAGAGGAGAGUGGAAUUCCCAGUGUAGAGGUGAAAAUUCGUAGAUAUUGGGAAGAACACCGGUGGCGAAGGCGGCUCUCUGGACCGAUACUGACGCUGAGGCGCGAAAGCGUGGGGAGCAAACAGGG
rnacentral:rRNA from 1 species